AAAGUCCACAGAUUUUACAUGGAAAUCAUAUGAUGAAUGGUUGUUGCAUGCCAUGGAAAACUCCCCAAACAAUAAAAACAAAUUUUGGUACAUGAAAACAAGCAAUUUUGAAUCGGAUUUUAUUGAAAGAGAAUUUAAU
rnacentral:ribozyme from 12 species